GUACUGAGUUGGCCAACAUGGAC
rnacentral:piRNA from 1 species